rnacentral:rRNA from 1 species
UACGAAGGGGGCUAGCGUUGCUCGGAAUUACUGGGCGUAAAGGGAGCGUAGGCGGGUUAUCAAGUUGGAGGUGAAAGCCCAGGGCUCAACCUUGGAAUUGCCUUCAAAACUGAUAACCUAGAGGAUGAUAGAGGUAAGUGGAACUCCGAGUGUAGAGGUGAAAUUCGUAGAUAUUCGGAAGAACACCAGUGGCGAAGGCGACUUACUGGAUCAUUACUGACGCUCAGGCACAAAAGCGUGGGGAGCAAAAGGG